rnacentral:rRNA from 1 species
AUUGAACGCUGGCGGCAUGCUUUACACAUGCAAGUCGAACGGCAGCGCGGGCUUCGGCCUGGCGGCGAGUGGCGAACGGGUGAGGAAUGCAUCGGAACGUGCCCAGUAGUGGGGGAUAGCCCGGCGAAAGCCGGAUUAAUACCGCAUACGACCAGAGGGGGAAAGCGGGGGACCGAAAGGCCUCGCGCUAUUGGAGCGGCCGAUGUCGGAUUAGCUAGUUGGUGGGGUAAAGGCUUACCAAGGCGACGAUCCGUAGCUGGUCUGAGAGGACGACCAGCCACACUGGGACUGAGACACGGCCCAGACUCCUCCGGGAGGCAGCAGUGGGGAAUUGUGGACAAUGGGGGCAACCCUGAUCCAGCCAUGCCGCGUGCGGGAAGAAGGCCUUCGGGUUGUAAACCGCUUUUGUUCGGGAAGAAAUCCUCUGGGCUAAUACCCCGGGGGGAUGACGGUACCGGAAGAAUAAGCACCGGCUAACUACGUG